rnacentral:rRNA from 1 species
CCCUUAGAUGUCCUGGGCCGCACGCGCGCUACACUGAACGGAUCAGCGCGUUUUCCCUUCCCGAGAGGGACGGGUAACCUGCUGAACCCCGUUCGUGGUAGGGAUCGGGGCUUGCAAUUAUUCCCCGUGAACCAGGAAUGCCCAGUAAGUGCAAGUCAUAAGCUUGCAUUGAUUACGUCCCUGCCCUUUGUACACACCGCCCGUCGCACCUACCGAUUGAAUGGUCCGGUGAAAUCUCGGGACGGCGGCUUGGUCGCUUGCGUCCGACUGCUGAAACUUGAUUAAACCAUAUCAUUUAGAGGAAGGUGAAGUCGUANCA